rnacentral:rRNA from 1 species
UACAGAGGUCUCAAGCGUUGUUCGGAUUCAUUGGGCGUAAAGGGUGCGUAGGUGGCGUGGUAAGUCGGGUGUGAAAUUUCGGAGCUUAACUCCGAAACUGCAUUCGAUACUGCGGUGCUCGAGGACUGGAGAGGAGACUGGAAUUCAUGGUGUAGCAGUGAAAUGCGUAGAGAUCAUGAGGAAGACCAGUGGCGAAGGCGGGUCUCUGGACAGUUCCUGACACUGAGGCACGAAGGCCAGGGGAGCAAACGGG